CGACAUUCUUCUGCUGAUCCGUCGCUGCUUCAGGCGUCUCAGAGAAUCAAAGUCCUCUUUAACCCCCCUCCAGACUCCUCUGUAACUCCUCUAAACUCCUCCUAGCUCCUCCUCUCUUCCAAAGGUCCGAAGACGACCAGAAGAAGAUGGACGAUGACAAGAAGCAGCAGAAAAGCUCCCGGGAAGUUUACUUCAGUGUCCUGCCAGAUAAAUACGAACCUCUAGAGGAGGAGGACGAGGAGGACGAGGAGAGGAAGAGGAGGAAGGAGGAGAAGAAGGAGAGGAAGAAGAAGAAGCACAAGAAGUACAGGAAGAAUGUGAGGAAGGCUCUGGGCUUCAGCUGGAGGUGUUUCCUGUUUUAUUGUGAAGGUGUGUUCUUCUAUGGUAGAAUGUGAGGAAGGCUCUGACCUUCAGCUGGAGGUGUUUCCUGGUUGGUCUCCAGUCAAUGGCCGCCGGAUUCAGCGGAGCGAUGGCUGGAUACUCCAUGACGAUCGUGAUUCCCACGGCGACGGAGGAGCGACGAGCCAGAAGGGAACUAUGAUGGGAUGGGAUCCACUUUGUUUGUUUGUUUGUUUGUUUACUUAUUUUAUUCUGCUUUGAUGCUGAAAGUUUCAAACUGUUUACCUGGUACUUCCUGUUUUUACUGUCCAAUAAAAUAAAAACAAACUGCUUCCAUGGUUGGUUCUUUAUGUCCUGAUAUGGUCAGGAGGCGGAGUCAAACUGUCCUUAUAUGGUCAGAUA
ensembl:lncRNA